rnacentral:ncRNA from 1 species
UACAAGGUUUUGUAAUGGUCCUUCUCGCGCCACGGAAGCCUUUGCAGCUGGAAACAGUUGGUCUGGACGACUCUAAACAAAUCGGCCUUAAUGCAAGUCAGCGUCUCUGCUGGCGACACUUUCGAACUGACGGGGACACCCUAAAGCUCUCCACACCAAGCCAGCCAGGGAAACCUGCUGGUGGCCCAUGGGAAACUAUGGGGUAUGGUAAUAGAGGGAGAGAUGAUCCGAGGCCCGCGCCUCGGUGAAGUGGGCAAUCCGCAGCGAAGCUCCUAACGUCCUCGGGCCUGGCCCGAACCACGGAGAACGUUCACAGACUAAGUGGAAGUGGGUGGAGAGCAAUCUCCGCUUAAGAUAUAGUCGGGCCCCUUGGGAAACCUCGGGGGUAGCGAGUCUCGAGUCUCUCGAGCUUGGAACAAACCGUUCCGUAGGUGAACCUGCGGAAGGAUCAUUACCGUUGGAGUCCGCUCCAAUCUGGGAUAGAACCCUUGCCUUUGAGUACCUUUUCGUUUCCUCGGUGGGCUCGCCCGCCGGUGGACAACCAUAAACUCUUUGUAAUAGCAAUAUCUUCUGAGAAAAACAAAUAGUCAAAACUUUCAACAACGGAUCUCUUGGUUCUGGCAUCGAUGAAGAACGCAGCGAAAUGCGAUAAGUAGUGUGAAUUGCAGAAUUCAGUGAAUCAUCGAAUCUUUGAACGCACAUUGCGCCCUUCGGUAUUCCGUUGGGCAUGCCUGUUCGAGCGUCAUUUAAGCAUUCAAGCUCAGCUUGGUGUUGGGUGCUUGUCCUCCCCCGCGGUGGACUCACCUCAAAUGCAUUGGCGGCCGGUAUGUUGGCUUCGAGCGCAGUAGAAACGCGCCAGACGUCCUGACAUACUGGUCCCCCAUAAGACCAUUCUUUAUAGCUUGACCUCGGAUCAGGUAGGGAUACCCGCUGAACUUAAGCAUAUCAAUAA